CGACCGGCGGACGGGUGCGUAACGCAUAUGUAACCUACCUUUGACAGGGGGAUAACAUCGAGAAAUUGGUACUAAUACCCCAUAACAUCACCGGAGGCAUCUUCGGUGGUUGAAAACUCAGGUGGUCAGAGAUGGACAUGCGUUGUAUUAGCUAGUUGGUGAGGUAACGGCUCACCAAGGCGACGAUACAUAGGGGGACUGAGAGGUCAACCCCCCACAUUGGUACUGAGACACGGACCAAACUCCUACGGAAGGCAGCAG
rnacentral:rRNA from 1 species